GACGAACGCUGGCGGCGUGCUUAACACAUGCAAGUCGAACGGAGUGGCGAACGGGUGAGUAACACGUGGGUGACCUGCCCUUCACUUCGGGAUAAGCCUGGGAAACUGGGUCUAAUACCGGGUAGUGUGGGUUGGGCGCGCGGCCUAUCAGCUUGUUGGUGGGGUAAUGGCCUACGAAGGCGGCGCCUGGUAGCCGGCCUGGGAGGGUGGACGGCCACAUUGGGACUGAGAGACGGCCCAGAGUGCUACGGGAGGCAGCAGUGGGGAAUAUUGCACAAUGGGCGGAAGCCUGAGGAGGCGACGCUGCGUGGGGGAUGACGGCCUUCGGGUUGUAAACUCCUUUCACCAUCGACGCGGUAGAUGGAGAAGAAGCACCGGCUAACUACGUGCCAGCAGCCGCGGUAAUUC
rnacentral:rRNA from 1 species